rnacentral:lncRNA from 1 species
CAACCGUCAGCUGUUACCGGGCAGAUCAUUUUGGCUCAGUCAAUCAUUGGCCAGUCUGAGGAGAGUUGUCUUAUGAUGUGUGUGCACGUGAAGUCAUCGUUUUUAUAUUUUUCUUCUGGGAUGAAUAGCUAUUGCCCGGUUGUAAAAUUAUCACAAUUUUACGUAAGAAAAUACCCUAAAGGAUUGAUUGUAAACAUCGUUUGACGUGUUUCUACAAACGGUAAUGGAACUUUGAACAUUUCGUAUAUGGAUUUGCGUCCACGCCACAUGGCAUUGUAAAGUGUUCUGGAUGGGUCAACAAAACGGACGUAUUUGGACAUAAAUGAUGGACUUUGCAGAACAAAUGAACAUUUCUUGUGGAAGUGGGUGCCCAUCCGAGUGCAUUCCACCGAAGAUCAGCAAAGGGCUGGGAUACUGUCCUGUAUCAGAGGUCUCUGAGGAAGAAGUGACUGAGUCGUUCCAUGAACAGAUUGUCUUUUCGGUAGUGCAAGGUUGUAAAAUAAUUCCGUCAUAAAGAACACAUAUUCAACUUAAAAAAAAGACAUGUUUUCCAAUCUUCAUAUGUUAAAUUAAUUAAGAAAAACCGGUGGACCAUUUCAUAUUAUAUCAGCCAUAACUCUGCUCGUGACAGGGGGAAAGGAAGCUGGUUGUGAGUAGCAAGGAGGGGCAAUUGAAUGCAAGCUUAUCAAAACAAAUGUAGCUUGUUAUUUGCCUAGAAUAUGACACCGCUCUUGUCUGUGCUCUGGCCAACGUUUAAAAUGCCACCCUAUACAGUAUAGUGCACUAACUUUUAUCAGGGAAUAGAGUGCCAUUUAGGAUGCAUUGUUGUUUGCAUUACUAGGUUGAAAUGACACGGCACUCAGGUGAGGCAGGGCAGAGUAGGGCAGAGAUUUGGAUAUAUAGUUGCAGGUUAUCAGGUCCAGCACCUGUGACAGACACAACACACCACACCUCAGAGGACAGAGUCACAGCAUCAAUUGGCUACAGAUCGCAACAAUUUUUGGACAUUACAGUUACAUAAUUCGUUGAGAUGAACUCAUCUAAAUUCAAUGACACGUCCACAUCUCCUCCAAUCUCCCUGAUUGAUACGGGUGAAGAAAGUGUCCUUUCGCUUCCUUCACACAUCAGAACUACACGAAGUGAGGCGAUCAAUACCUCAACUCCAGCUACCAACUAUUCCAUUCCUGAAGACCCACUGGCUGGCUACUUUUACCAUAUCAAAUCAAUCAGCACUGCUUCCUUAGCAAUCAACAUCAUCCUGGGUCUCCCCAUGUAAAGGAAUUUAUAUGUUUGAAUGUAAUGAUUAAAUAAUUCUACCCUGAGACUUAACUAUUAGGGAUAUGGUCUAUAUAGCAUGUAGAGUGAGCCUAAGUCUAACGAGGUUGGACUAAGAUAAGAGAAGAAUGUGUGUCUCUCUGUUUAAGUAAACACCAAGAACUGUUAAACUGUGGUUGACCUGCCCUAGCUUGAACUCUGAGGGUUUAAGAUAUGAGAGGGAAUCCUCCUCAAGGUUUCCCUAAUCUCAGAGGAAUGAAACUGUCGGCUGGGUAAUGAUCUAUAGUGUUAAGAGAUCUGGGCCUUAAUGUUUGUGUGUAUGUGUGUGCGUAAAUACGGAACAUGGUAUAUAAUGAUGUCUCUGUACAAUGGACUUCAGAGCGCACUCGUGAAUAAACACUUCUGAAUCUUGUAAGCUGGGCCUCCGUCUGUGUUAUUCAACCAGAAUCUUACCCAUUCUGGGAGGCAGACUGAGUAUGUUAAUUGGAGUUAACAUUGAGAACAUAAUUCUCAUAACACCCCACUAAUGUCUACAUUCUAUGGCUGAUACUGACUGAAGAUGCAGGGACGAUGGCCUCAGAGUUCUUCUUUCUCAACUUGGCCAUGUCUGAGGUCCUCUUCUGCUUGUUUUCAAUCUUGUAUUUUAUCUGGUUACACAACCCCUCAAUCGUUGUCUCAUGCAUCAUGUUCUUUUCUUAUGAUUUUCUCUACACCGGCCGUCCUGUUUCAAAGCCGUAUCUGUAUGGAGCGCUACCUGGCAGUGGUCCACCCUGUGGUCUACCUGAAUUACAAACCCCUGAGAUACAGGGUUGGGUGUUGUAGUCUUGUCUGGCUGAUGGUGCAUUGGUCCUGUCUGUUCUUUAUGCUGGUAGAUGAAAGAUCUGUUGUAUUGUUUUUUGUGUUAAAUCUCUUCUGCUACCUCUCAGUUCUCAGGGCUCUGAAAUGUCCCAGGCCGGGGGGAGGGGAGUGCGAAGGCACAAAUAACAUGAAGAUCAGGACCUUCAUGAUCAUUUAGAUUAUCAUGGUGUCUAUUGUCAUGAAUUAUCUUCUAUAUUUUUUGGCCUUUAACAUAUGUUUCACCUUCAAUGUG